CAGCACCUGGCUCCAGCAGGGAGGCUGUCCUUGUUGGAGGGGUCUGAACAGGAGGUUUGGGAUCAGCCAGCCCAAUCCACGAGCAUUUGCACCACAGGGGAAGCAGGGAGCAGCUCUCAGCCUGGUUCUUGCUGGCAACAACAGCCGUUGUGUUUUGACGAGUUAAUAAACAUCUCCCCCAGGAGCGAGGGAGCUCCAGCAUGCUCUGCUUCACCUGUGUUUUACGUCUUGACUAACAGAGUUUGCCGAGCAAGAGGUGUUUUUCUAAUCUGAGAACUCGCUGCCUCACGUUUCCCACCUCUCCCCGGAGCUGCCGCGCUUCCCUGCUGCUUCCCUGAUGCUUCUGUUAUCUCCUGGAGGGCAACCGUGGCUGCAGCCCCCCUCCUCCUUCCUGCCACCCCCAAUCCCACGUUAUCACUUGGAUCCCGUGCCUUGGAGCCGUUUAUCAGCCUCAGAAGUUGAGAUAGCAGGGUUCAUCUUGCUCUGGGACCUGUGUGCUCCCAUGGCACAGGAUUCCUGUGCUGACAAGAUUGCCUUCAUCACCAAAAACACCACGAGCUGCUGCUGAGUGCCAGGGCUCUGCAGGGCUGGCACACCUUGUCCUGCUCCUCCCAAGCACCUCUAUCAUUGCUCCACCAACACAGAGCCUCAUGACCUGUGGGUUUUCACAGCCUUGUGGACCAAAAUCCAAGAUUUCAUCAUCAUUUGCAGACCAUCAUGUGAGGAAGGCAUCAGAAACCUGAAGAGGGACACUGCUCCAGAACCUGCUGUUACUAGGAUGCCCCUCAGGGCUGCAUCCACCUGGAGGUGGCUGCUGCCUUCGUGCCUUUUGGCAAGAAGAAUCCAGUCCUUGGACGUGGCAUGAGGCAGCCCUGGGAAGGUGGAACGUGGUCCGCAGAGCCAAAUUGCCAGUUCCAACUUGUAGAACAUUAUUGCUUCUGAAUUAUGGAUGGUUAUUGCCCCUCCUCGACAAUAAAUUAUUGAGCUGACAUGCUGGAUGGAGAGUGAGGAGCAGGGGGCUUGCUCAUGGCAGGCGGGUCUGGAAUGUGGUAUCUUCACGGGGAGUGGGGGAUGUUUUUUCCCCCUUUCCUUCCUGAGCAAGAGCAUCUCAGCCUGAAGCUGUGGAAACAGCAGAGCCCUGCUCACCCUGUCUCACCCAGCCAACUGUGAGGGCAGCCCUAGCCAAAAAUCCCUGGUGAGGGAUCCUGGAGAAUCCCUGAACUGGAACACGGAUAGAAACUCCAGGGUCCCCUGUCUGCCUAUCCUGCAGCACCAUCACAGGCACUUCUGAGCCCAGUAACCUCUCCUUGGCCUCAGGGGGGUGUGGGACAUGGUUUAUUUAGCUGAUUAGGUGCUAUUUAUCUCCCAGGCUGUGCUGGUCCAGCAAUUCUGGCAAGGUCUGCUGAGCCCUUGUCCGACACGUGCUGCCAACAGCCUUGGGCUUUAGGGACUCCCUGAGGGGGCUGUUCCAUCAUGUUUAACAGACCUUGACAGACCCGUGUGCCCCGUGAGUUUGCCUAAAUGCUUUCUGGGGGCCACUUAGGCUGCAGGUCUCCAUAGCACCCUGUGGCAAUGAGUUCCAUAAUUUAAUCGUGGGUGGCGUGGAAAAAGUGCAGUCUUUUGUUUGUCCCUAAAUCUGCUGCCUGAUAACUCGAUUUGGACACUCCUAGUUCCUCUCUCGGAAGAAACGGGGAAUUAUCACUGCCUCUGCACCUGCUCCACAGCACUGGUGCUUUUAUACUGUCCUGCUGUGGCUUUUCUUUCUCUCUCCUUUAUUCAUCCCUCCUGGCAAUUUCCAAUUCUCCUGCCAGCUCUGCUUCACACGGAGGACGGAGAUGGAAAGAUCACUGCUUUGCUUUUGUGGCUGUGCUGAUCUCCCUCUUCUCUACCAGAUGCUCAGGAGGCACUGCUGACCCCGGUCCAGGUGCUGACAGCUCCCUCUGGAGCAAGCCCUGGUGUCAGUGAACACCCCCAAGGCACGUCCUGGUGGUUUGGGGUGCUCACUCCUUCCCCUGUGUUUCCUGUGUGCACAUGUGGGGCUGUUCCCAGCCACCCAGCCCAGCCCCUGACACAGGAAAAGGUUCCUAACAUGGAAUACCACGUUGGGAAUGGCCACCUUGGGAAUCACCAUCUCCUAACCAGGCUUUCCUGGCCCCAAGGAGCAGCUUUCACCUCCACCCUCCUGUGGGACACAGAUGCUGUGAAGCAGCACCAAGGUGGAGGAGAGAGGUGACACCAGGGUCCAAGAGGACACAGGGGAAUUGGAGGGGAAGGGUUUGUGUCUGUCUCUCCCCAUGCCCAGCAGGAUUUCCAUCUCAUCUCAAGCUGAAGCCAAGGAGACUCUGGAGACAAGGAGAAACUGAAGCGCUUUCCCUAAUCGAAUCACACGCCAGCGUCACUUGUAAAGCUCUGCAAAGCAGAAAGGACUUGGGAGCCACUGAACCACAAACUCCUGCUCCCUCCCCAGUGCCUCGUGGAGAUCCUGCCUCUCUUCUCCAUCUCUUGCCCAUGAGCUCAGCCUGGGAGGGAGCCAGGACUCGGAGCUCCUACCUCAUUCCCCACACCUGCAUACCAGGCAGCAUCCAGGACGUCUCCGUGGCAGAAACAGCAUCCUUGCAGCAGGUCUGUCAGCAAGAAUUUCUGCAGCCUCCUCUGGUGCUCCCAGAGCUCUCAGGUUGGCUAACUGGCAAGGGCACCUGACUGCUCCAGAAGGUUCUCCAAGGUGGAUUUUCAUUUUUUUGGGUGACAGCUUGCCUGCAACACCCCGAUGGAACAGCCUCUGCAUCCCACCGGGGUUUGCACUGCAAGGUGGAUUUUCAUUUUUGGGUGACAGCUUGCAUGCAGCACCCCGAUGGAACAGCUUCUGCAUCCUGCCAGGGUUUGCACUCCCUCUGAAGGCUGGGAGCAGGCUGAGCCCUCGGAGCAAGCCCGUGGCUGGAGCAGCUCACCGAGCCCGGGGAGCUCCGGCGCCAAACCCACAGCCCCGGCUGCACCGGGCUGGCGAGGCACAGGCUGUAAUUACUGCCAGGGCGCCUUCCCCCACUGCCCCGGCCCGAGGAGCUGAGCAGCUGCCAGCAAUUAAAACUAGUUAGCAGUUCCCAUGAUGUUUUAACCAUUUCUAGGGAGCCGUGGCAGCCCCUCCUUCCUCAGAGGGAAAAAAUCGGAUUUGUUGGCACACUGAUGGCACAGACACUGCUGCAGCAUGGGGCUUUGCUGAGUUUGGGGGUCUCUCUUCCCCCAGAAAAGCAUUGCUGAGUCCUUUUGGCCUCCCCCUCUUCCUCCACUGAGCCAGGGUGGGGUUUAAACCCAUUCUGAGGAGGGACUCAGUGGCUGGAAAAAUGCAG